rnacentral:tRNA from 1 species
GCCGGUGUGUUGGAAUGGUAGACGAGGCGGACUCAAAAUUCGUUGCGAGCGAUCGCGUGUGGGUUCGAAUCCCACCACCGGUACCA